AGAGUUUGAUCAUGGCUCAGAUUGAACGCUGGCGGCAGGCCUAACACAUGCAAGUCGAACGGUAACAGGAAGCAGCUUGCUGCUUCGCUGACGAGUGGCGGACGGGUGAGUAAUGUCUGGGAAACUGCCUGAUGGAGGGGGAUAACUACUGGAAACGGUGGCUAAUACCGCAUAACGUCGCAAGACCAAAGAGGGGGACCUUCGGGCCUCUUGCCAUCAGAUGUGCCCAGAUGGGAUUAGCUAGUUGGUGAGGUAACGGCUCACCAAGGCGACGAUCCCUAGCUGGUCUGAGAGGAUGACCAGCCACACUGGAACUGAGACACGGUCCAGACUCCUACGGGAGGCAGCAGUGGGGAAUAUUGCACAAUGGGCGCAAGCCUGAUGCAGCCAUGCCGCGUGUAUGAAGAAGGCCUUCGGGUUGUAAAGUACUUUCAGCGGGGAGGAAGGUGUUGUGGUUAAUAACCACAGCAAUUGACGUUACCCGCAGAAGAAGCACCGGCUAACUCCGUGCCAGCAGCCGCGGUAAUACGGAGGGUGCAAGCGUUAAUCGGAAUUACUGGGCGUAAAGCGCACGCAGGCGGUCUGUCAAGUCGGAUGUGAAAUCCCCGGGCUCAACCUGGGAACUGCAUUCGAAACUGGCAGGCUUGAGUCUUGUAGAGGGGGGUAGAAUUCCAGGUGUAGCGGUGAAAUGCGUAGAGAUCUGGAGGAAUACCGGUGGCGAAGGCGGCCCCCUGGACAAAGACUGACGCUCAGGUGCGAAAGCGUGGGGAGCAAACAGGAUUAGAUACCCUGGUAGUCCACGCCGUAAACGAUGUCUACUUGGAGGUUGUGCCCUUGAGGCGUGGCUUCCGGAGCUAACGCGUUAAGUAGACCGCCUGGGGAGUACGGCCGCAAGGUUAAAACUCAAAUGAAUUGACGGGGGCCCGCACAAGCGGUGGAGCAUGUGGUUUAAUUCGAUGCAACGCGAAGAACCUUACCUGGUCUUGACAUCCACGGAAGUCUUCAGAGAUGAGAAUGUGCCUUCGGGAACCGUGAGACAGGUGCUGCAUGGCUGUCGUCAGCUCGUGUUGUGAAAUGUUGGGUUAAGUCCCGCAACGAGCGCAACCCUUAUCCUUUGUUGCCAGCGGUUAGGCCGGGAACUCAAAGGAGACUGCCAGUGAUAAACUGGAGGAAGGUGGGGAUGACGUCAAGUCAUCAUGGCCCUUACGACCAGGGCUACACACGUGCUACAAUGGCGCAUACAAAGAGAAGCGACCUCGCGAGAGCAAGCGGACCUCAUAAAGUGCGUCGUAGUCCGGAUUGGAGUCUGCAACUCGACUCCAUGAAGUCGGAAUCGCUAGUAAUCGUGGAUCAGAAUGCCACGGUGAAUACGUUCCCGGGCCUUGUACACACCGCCCGUCACACCAUGGGAGUGGGUUGCAAAAGAAGUAGGUAGCUUAACCUUCGGGAGGGCGCUUACCACUUUGUGAUUCAUGACUGGGGUGAAGUCGUAACAAGGUAACCGUAGGGGAACCUGCGGUUG
rnacentral:rRNA from 1 species